UAAAUGGAUCAAAAUUAAUGUAAACCUAACCAAUCUUGAUGCAUUUAAGGAAAUUUCAAUUUGCCAUAAGUUUUUUGAAUAAGAUUAGAGACAUGUAUGACAACGCAUCUAUGCAGUUAUUUUUGAAAAAAUAGGAAAAGAAGAAAAAUACAAAAUGUUUUUAGAGCACACCUAAAAGUUUGUGGCCCAACCAAACAAGAUGCAAUUUACUUAAAAUAUUGGUUAAUUUGGCUUUAAUGGUACCUCUUUUACCUCAUCUUGACAUGAUUUGGUAAUUUCUUGUCAGGAUGCCCAAGAAAUUACCAUUUGAUUGGAAACUUAGCGAGUCUCCAUUUUCUUUUUUUCCUUCUUCGAUUGCUUCGCCUUGAAGGUGUGAUGGUGUUGAAUUCUGUGAUGCUCCACGAGUGACUCCAGAACAGCCUGUUUUCUCUACAAGGAGAACCAAGACUUCAUGCAGCCAGUUGAAUUGGUGAGACUUUAUGUAGAUGGAGACCAGAGUGACUAGUAGAAUAUGGACAUCUGGCCGAAGCCCAUAUAACCUGGAUUCUGUAUUCAUGUCCUGCUCGUUAUAAAAAUUUUCAUAAUUAAAUUUAACCUGUGGUAUUCA